UUACGGCCAUAUCACGUUGAAACACCGGUUCUCGUACGAUCAACGAAGUUAAGCAACGUCGAGCCUGGUCAGUACCUAGAUGGGUGAACGCUUGAGAAUACCAGGUGCUGUAAG